ACGACCGUGGCAGGGAAUGGCCGCGGGAUGACGUGAAUCCCGGAAUAAGCCCCGGCUAACUACGUGCCAGCAGCCGCGGUAACACGUAGGGGGCGAGCGUUGUUCGGAAUCAUUGGGCGUAAAGGGCGUGCAGGCGGUCCUGCAAGUCCGGCGUGAAAGACCCCGGCCCAACCGGGGGGGCGCGCUGGAAACUGCAGGGCUUGAGUACAGGAGGGGAUGCCGGAAUUCCAGGUGUAGGGGUGAAAUCUGUAAAUAUCUGGAGGAACACCAAUGGCGAAGGCAGGCAUCUGGCCAUGUACUGACGCUGAGACGCGAAGGUGCGGGGAGCAAACAGGUUUAGAUACCCUGGUAGUCCGCACAGUAAACGAUGUGCACCAGGUGGCGGGGGGUCGACCCCCGGUACCGUAGCCAACGCAUUAAGUGCACCGCCUGGGGAGUAUGCUC
rnacentral:rRNA from 1 species